rnacentral:lncRNA from 1 species
CACACAAUAUAUAUAUAUAUAUAUAUAUAUUACUAACUUCAAUAGAUUUAAACAAAAUAGCAACACCAAGAAUCGAAACUGGGAUGGAAGCGAUUGUUUGUGAAGUAUAAUUGCGUCACACUGUAACCCAUGACCUUUAGAAAUGUAUUUCUAUAUGUCCUUAUAAGGAAAUAGCAGCUUGGCAUAGUGUGACUAUUUCCGUCAUGCGGAUUUUGGUCGACCGUACAUCACCAGUUUAAAUAUAAUCUUCCGCCAGUAAUAUUUUAUACUUACAAAGUAUAUUAUUUAAUACUAAAACUCAAGAAAUACUCAUAUUACAUUAUUUAUUAUAUUUUGAAUUAUUUUAUACUAUACUAUAUAAUUAAGUCUGAAUAAAAUUGCUUUUUAAGGGGAACUAUAUUAUGCGCAUGAUCUCAGUGAUCAGUCUCGUAGUAAUAAGAAAUUCUUAUUGUGACGCACAGUUUGGAGAAAUUGCUCAUUCUGAAUGGAUGCUCGGAAAAUUUUAUCGUAAAUUUGGUUUGCUAUUUUCACUGUCUGUUUUUAUUUCUUAUCUAGCGGAUUAUGCUGAUGUAGUCUGCGCCAUCUUGAAAACCGAAGAAAUUUGAUUAUGCUCUCAACUGAAAUUGCAAACUACUUGUGGGUUUCUUUCUUCUGGGUAAGCGAAGUCAAGUAGUUGACCCUAUAAGUAACCACUUAAUAUUUAGUUUUGUUUACGUAUAAGAAUUAAAUAAAAUUUUGAAAUUUCUUGCUCUUAAGUUCUUAAAAUAAAAAUAACUUUCUUGGUUCCUCGCUGUUAAAUUUUCUUUUCACAGUUCAACGGCUGAAAUAGAAAUUCUUGCCAGUUUGCUGUCUUGGUUUUGUCGUCAUGUAGGGAAUAAUAUAUACAUAUAAAAAGAAAAAAAGGACGCUAAGGUUGGCUUUUCAUUGCCUCAUUAUUACAAUUAAAAAGAAUUGUGAGAUAACGUUAAAUUUAUAUUUGCAUAACUUAUUCACUUGUAACCAAAAAAAAAGGUGGGGAAGAAAACCCCGCAUUACUUUUUAAUGCUUAGGAUUAGCAAAUUAGACUACCAAACAUGAUUAUUUGCCACACUUUUAUAACCUUUCUUUUCAGUUAAUGACUGGACUAAAUUCCUAAUUAUAUACAUCGUUUUGCCUGACCCAGAUUCCUGCAUACAGAUAUCCUACUGGAUUUAAAGCUAGUAGCAAUUUUCCAAGUUGCUAUCGCUUUGUAGUAAGAAGCCUUUGUGUUCCUAAAGGAUCCUAAAGUUCGAUAUGGAGGUAGAAGGCUUACUGAAUAUUGACCCUACUAUGAAAAUAUGUGCUGUUCUCUGGACCAGUAAACGGACCAACCCUAAAGAGCAAAUUAUGCUCUUCAGUGAUCUUCACAUUUCAUCAAGUGACACAUCAAAAGCUUACAUAAGGUUUGGAUUCUUUGGCUAAGAGAUAUGGUUUCCCUGGAUCAACCCCAAAAUUUGACAAAGGUGAGCAAAUGAACUACAUGGUAAAUUGGUGAAAAUCAAGUCAAGAUGUUAGAAGAUACAUUGGAGCAAAUCAUUUCAGAAAGGCAUUCAGAAUUUGAAUUGGAAACAAAAUAUUAUUUUAGUCGGGCAUUAAGAAAUUUGGAUGAAUUUUGCUCAGGUACAUUGUCUAAUCUCAAUUACUUAUACUACUCUGCUGCACACCCUACAUCGGUGUGAUUAAUAAGGAUCUAUCAGGCUUCAACCACCAUCUCAGUUGUGUUUCUGCUUGACUAGUUAACUGGUUCCAUUGUUUUUAACUGACAUCACACUGAACACGUUAUAGCUUUCCUAAAAACAUCUACAAAAAGUGUUCAGAGUGAACAUCAAUUGCAGUCUGGAUGAGAUGAAAAGGUAAUGAUGGCCAGUGUUCUUCCUAUAGUAUAACAAAAAAAAAAUCUGAUAGCAAUUUGUAUCAGAUGAAGAGCAGCUCCAUAAUUUUCUGUGAUACAUUUUGUAAAAGACAUGUCCAUAUAAAAAUAUUUAAGAUCUUUAAUGGUGACUUGAGAAUGUUCGAAUGCUUGCUUAGUGAGUUUUCAAAAUCUGCAAGUUAUAGAUUUUCAAAAUGGAACCAUGCAGUGUAGUUAAGUAGGAAUGGUUACUAAAUGAUUUCAUUAUACUGAAUUGGAAGUUUUACAUUUUACAUUAAAAAAAAAAUCAAAAAGUAUUGAAUUUCUAACAGUUUUAGUAAUUUAUGCUGUUUACUAAGACAUUUUGUGUGAAGUCCCUUCCUGAUGCAACAUGCUAGUAAUCAUUUAAACAACAGUCAAAAGAGUUCUAAAGUAAAGGAGCAGCACUGGAGAAAAAUCUGAAGCAAAUUAGUGGAGAGGUCACACACAAAAGGAAGCCAGAAAUAUUGGUUUCCUUGAUAUUGCAUGAUAGCAUCCUGCUGAUUCAACAGUGAGUAUAUUCAGAAACUAUUAAGGACAUUCAGUAUGUUGUGAUAUUUCUGUUACUAUAAAAAUAAAUACAUACAAUUUCAUUAGAAUACUGUUCUAUAGUAUUCUGUUUCAUGAGAAGUUGAAAAACCAGUUAACAAGACAGUUGGAAAAAAUUCUGCACUAUAUGAAAGCUUUUUACCAUUUGAUAUAUUUGGGAUUAAAUUCAAAGUUGUUUGCUUUUGUUUGUACAUUGGCAGUGGAGAUGAACAUUGACUGGAAGUAAAGAGCCUGUCUACCUAUCAGAUUAGAGGUUAAUUCAUUUAAUCUCUCUGCGUUGAGUGUAAGUCAUUCUUUAUACAAAUAUGGUCUUAGCACAAAGACAAUUUUAUGCCAACUAAUGGCGAAUGCAUUUGUUUCUCUAGACCUAAUGGAAGAUGUUUUGAGACAGAGAAUGAAGUUGAAAAUGACAAGCAGGGAACUUCAGCUUUUAUAGAACACUUUUGCUUCUUUUUUCAUAAUGUGGAGUUGUAUAUGUGAAUGAAAAUUGUUCUCAUGAAAUAAUUUGGUGAUAUUUGUUAUUGCUGAAUGGUUACAAAGUUCAUUUAACAGCCAUUCUGCAUUCCAUGCCAGUGUGUGCUUGUUACAUGCUUUAUAUUUUGUGAUUUAAAAUUUUGCAAGCGAAAUGGCUACUUGGUGCAAUGAAAGAAAGAAGACAUUAUACUUGAUAAAGUAUGCCAGAGCCAACAUUUGAGUAUGAUAUAAUAAUUUGAUCUGUCAGGUCCUAUCAAACAAUACAACUCGUGGCCAGCUUGGAUUUUGGUUGUUUCUAAGUAAAUGUGAGAGGCAUGUUUGUAUUAGUUUAUCAUUGGCAGAUAAAAUGAGAAGGCCAGUUUUGUGUCUCAGGUAAGCAGGCGUCAUCUUCUAGAUGAAACCUUUUACAUUUUACAUUAAUUCUACUUACAAAUGGUUGUUUGCAACAGUAAUAAAAUUCACCAUAGUUUUGUGCAAGAAUCUGAUGUUUAGUUUUAUAAAAAUAGCGUCAUGGGUCUAUAAUGGCUGCAGGGACAGUUACCUAUAGAGUAGUAGUAAAGAUGUAUUUAGGAAUUUAGUUGCCAAUUUUAAUGUAUUUCCCAAAGAUAUU